rfam:Citrus clementina cultivar Clemenules unplaced genomic scaffold scaffold_3, whole genome shotgun sequence.
AAAGUAUUGUGCAGCCAAGGAUGACUUGCCGACGCUUCAAAGAUAUAGAUAUAUAGCUUCCAAUUAAUUUGUAUUAUUAAUUUUCCAGAGAAGAUUUAUGGGAAUUAAAUUAUAUAUAUAAUGGAGAAGUUGGCAAGCCGUUUUUGGCUACAUGGUGCUUUCU